GUGGGGAAUAUUGGGCAAUGGGCGAAAGCCUGACCCAGCAACGCCGCGUGAAGGAAGAAGGUUUUCGGAUCGUAAACUUCUAUCCUUGGUGAAGAUAAUGACGGUAGCCAAGAAGGAAGCCCCGGCUAACUACGUGCCAGCAGCCGCGGUAAUACGUAGGGGGCAAGCGUUUUCCGGAAUGAUUGGGCGGAAAGGGCGCGUAGGCGGCACGGUAAGUCUGAAGUGAAAGUCCUGCUGUUAAGGUGUGAAUUGCUUUGGAUACUGUCGGGCUUGAGUGCAGGAUAGGUAAGCGGAAUUCCCGGUGUAGCGGUGAAAUGCGUAGAGAUCGGGAGGAACACCAGUGGCGAAGGCGGCUUACUGGACUGUAACUGACGCUGAGGCGCGAAAGUGUGGGGAGCAAACAGGAUUAGAAACCCCUGUAGUCC
rnacentral:rRNA from 1 species